UGGAGCAUGUGGUUUAAUUCGAAGCAACGCGAAGAACCUUACCAGGUCUUGACAUCCUCUGACAACUCUGGAGACAGAGCGUUCCCCUUCGGGGGACAGAGUGACAGGUGGUGCAUGGUUGUCGUCAGCUCGUGUCGUGAGAUGUUGGGUUAAGUCCCGCAACGAGCGCAACCCUUGACCUUAGUUGCCAGCAUUCAGUUGGGCACUCUAAGGUGACUGCCGGUGACAAACCGGAGGAGGGUGGGGAUGACGUCAAAUCAUCAUGCCCCUUAUGACCUGGGCUACACACGUGCUACAAUGGGCGAUACAAAGGGUUGCGAAGCCGCGAGGUGAAGCCAAUCCCAUAAAGUCGCUCUCAGUUCGGAUUGCAGGCUGCAACUCGCCUGCAUGAAGCUGGAAUCGCUAGUAAUCGCGGAUCAGCAUGCCG
rnacentral:rRNA from 1 species